rnacentral:rRNA from 1 species
AGAUAAGGGAAGUCGGCAAAAUAGAUCCGUAACCUCGGGAUAAGGAUUGGCUCUGAGGGUUGGGCCUAAAGGUCCCUUGACUAUCAGUUGGACUGUGCUGGGAGUCUACGGUUCGCUGUGGACGACUGGCGCGUUGGCUGUGUGACUUGGGAAGGUCGUAUUGCUUCGGUAGUGCGGCCCUCGUCUUUAGUGCGUGGAACAACCGACUCAGAACUGGAGCGGACAAG